rnacentral:rRNA from 1 species
UGCCAGACUCCUACGGGAGGCAGCAGUGAGGAAUAUUGGUCAAUGGCCGGAAGGCUGAACCAGCCAAGCCGCGUGAAGGACGAAGGUGCCAAGCAUUGUAAACUUCUUUUGUCAAGGGACAAAAUCAGGCUCGAGAGCCUGACCGAGGGUACUUGAAGAAAAAGCAUCGGCUAACUCCGUGCCAGCAGCCGCGGUAAUACGGAAGGUCCGGGCGUUAUCCGGAUUUAUUGGGUUUAAAGGGAGCGUAGGCCGGUCUUUAAGCGUGCCGUGAAAUUUUGUGGCUCAACCAUGAGAGUGCGGCGCGAACUGGAGACCUUGAGUGCGCGGAGGGCAGGCGGAAUUCGUGGUGUAGCGGUGAAAUGCCUAGAUAUCACGAAGAACUCCGAUUGCGAAGGCAGCUUACUAAACUGCCACUGACAUUGAUGCUCGAAAGUGUGGGUAUCAAACAGGAUUAGAUACCCCCGUAA